rnacentral:rRNA from 1 species
GAUGAACGCUGGCCGCGUGCCUAAUACAUGCAAGUCGAGCGAAUGGAUUAAGAGCUUGCUCUUAUGAAGUUAGCGGCGGACGGGUGAGUAACACGUGGGUAACCUGCCCAUAAGACUGGGAUAACUCCGGGAAACCGGGGCGAAUACCGGAUAACAUUUUGAACCGCAUGGUUCGAAAUUGAAAGGCGGCUUCGCCUGUCACUUAUGGAUGGACCCGCGUCGCAUUAGCUAGAUGGUGAGGUAACGGAUGAGCAAGGCAACGAUGCGUAGCCGACCUGAGAGGGUGAUCGGCCACACUGGGACUGAGACACGGCCCAGACUCCUACGGGAGGCAGCAGUAGGGAAUCUUCCGCAAUGGACGAAAGUCUGACGGAGCAACGCCGCGUGAGUGAUGAAGGCUUUCGGGUCGUAAAACUCUGUUGUUAGGGAAGAACAAGUGCUAGUUGAAUAAGCUGGCACCUUGACGGUACCUAACCAGAAAGCCACGGCUAACUACGUGCCAGCAGCCGCCGUAA